AUUUUCAUGCUUUUUCUUCCACAGCUCCAUAAAUCUUACACAUGCAUCUCUUAAGCGUGAGGCACCAAAAGAUUCGGAAAAUGAUACCAUCUGUGUCAUACGAUCAAUAUCAAAACCAGCAGCUACAGCACGAGCAAAUGCCAUUCCUUGUUCUUUUUGAAGCACAGACUUGCGAGUCUCCAGGACCUUCAGAAACUGUACUCUUGAAUUUUCUUCCUGCAAAUCUGUUUGAGGUUGAUCUUCCCCCGGCUUGUAAAGAACAAUAGCUUUCUCCUCAUUGACAUCUGCUGUAGAUUUAGUACCUGCAAUGUUUCCUGCUGGUUUAGCUUCUUUGUAUUCAGCUGGCCCCUGCCCACUAUCAUUGUUUCCUUGAAGGGCUAUUGCUUCCUCAAUCUGCAAGAUCUCAGAUUCAAUGGUGUAUACCCUUUCCAAAACCUCUGGAUUGCUCACAAAGCGGACAAACCUUUCCACUGUACACUUUGUAAACCAUGAAUCAUCAGCGUGAGCAUCUGGUUCCAGCAAAAUUGAGUAACCACCCUUUGCAAUUUGAUCCUGAGCAGUUUUCAAGUGAG
rnacentral:misc_RNA from 1 species